rnacentral:rRNA from 1 species
UUAAGCAAAUCAAUAAGCGGAGGAAAAGAAACUAACAAGGAUUCCCCUAGUAACGGCGAGUGAAGCGGGAAGAGCUCAAAUUUGUAAUCUGGCGGCCUUUGGUCGUCCGAGUUGUAGUCUCGAGAAGCGUUUUCUGCGCCGGACCGUGUACAAGUCCCUUGGAACAGGGCGUCGUAGAGGGUGAGAAUCCCGUCUCUGACACGGACCGCCGGUGCUUUGUGAUGCGCUCUCAAAGAGUCGAGUUGUUUGGGAAUGCAGCUCAAAACGGGUGGUAAAUUCCAUCUAAAGCUAAAUAUUGGCGAAAGACCGAUAGCGAACAAGUACCGUGAGGGAAAGAUGAAAAGCACUUUGGAAAGAGAGUUAAACAGNACGUGAAAUUGCUGAAAGGGAAACGCUUGAAGUCAGUCGCGUCUCCCGGGANUCAGCCGUGCCCCCCAUCCGGCACGGUGUACUUCCUGGGUGUGACGGGCCAGCAUCGAUUUCGUCCGUCGGAGAAAGGCCUUGGGGAAUGUGGCACCUUCGGGUGUGUAUAUAGCCCUGGGUCGCAUGCGACGGUUGGGAUCGAGGACCGCAGCACGUUUAUCNUUCAAUGGGGCUCGGGGUUCGCCCACGCAAACGUUGNUUAGGAUGCUUGGGGUAAUGGCUUUAAGUGACCCGUUUUGAAANACGGACCAAGGAGUCCAACAUGCCUGCGAGUGUUUGGGUGGAAAACCCGGACGCGCAAUGAAAGUGAAAGGUUGGGACCUCUGUCGUGGAGGGCACCGACGCCCGGACCAGACCUUCUGUGACGGUUCCGAGGUAGAGCAUGCAUGCUGGGACCCGAAAGAUGGUGAACUAUGCCUGAGUAGGGCGAAGCCAGAGGAAACUCUGGUGGAGGCUCGUAGCGAUUCUGACGUGCAAAUCGAUCGUCGAACUUGGGUAUAGGGGCGAAAGACUAAUCGAACCAUCUANUAGCUGGUUCCUGCCGAA